GAGUUUGAUCCUGGCUCAGGACGAACGCUGGCGGCGCGCCUAACACAUGCAAGUCGAACGAGCGAGAGAGAGCUUGCUUUCUCAAGCGAGUGGCGAACGGGUGAGUAACGCGUGAGGAACCUGCCUCAAAGAGGGGGACAACAGUUGGAAACGACUGCUAAUACCGCAUAAGCCCACGGCUCGGCAUCGAGCAGAGGGAAAAGGAGCAAUCCGCUUUGAGAUGGCCUCGCGUCCGAUUAGCUAGUUGGUGAGGUAACGGCCCACCAAGGCGACGAUCGGUAGCCGGACUGAGAGGUUGAACGGCCACAUUGGGACUGAGACACGGCCCAGACUCCUACGGGAGGCAGCAGUGGGGAAUAUUGCACAAUGGGGGAAACCCUGAUGCAGCGACGCCGCGUGGAGGAAGAAGGUCUUCGGAUUGUAAACUCCUGUUGUUGAGGAAGAUAAUGACGGUACUCAACAAGGAAGUGACGGCUAACUACGUGCCAGCAGCCGCGGUAAAACGUAGGUCACAAGCGUUGUCCGGAAUUACUGGGUGUAAAGGGAGCGCAGGCGGGAAAGCAAGUUGGAAGUGAAAUCCAUGGGCUCAACCCAUGAACUGCUUUCAAAACUGUUUUUCUUGAGUAGUGCAGAGGUAGGCGGAAUUCCCGGUGUAGCGGUGGAAUGCGUAGAUAUCGGGAGGAACACCAGUGGCGAAGGCGGCCUACUGGGCACCAACUGACGCUGAGGCUCGAAAGUGUGGGUAGCAAACAGGAUUAGAUACCCUGGUAGUCCACACUGUAAACGAUGAUUACUAGGUGUUGGAGGAUUGACCCCUUCAGUGCCGCAGUUAACACAAUAAGUAAUCCACCUGGGGAGUACGACCGCAAGGUUGAAACUCAAAGGAAUUGACGGGGGCCCGCACAAGCAGUGGAGUAUGUGGUUUAAUUCGACGCAACGCGAAGAACCUUACCAAGUCUUGACAUCCUGCGACGGUGCUGGAAACAGUACUUUCCUUCGGGACGCAGAGACAGGUGGUGCAUGGUUGUCGUCAGCUCGUGUCGUGAGAUGUUGGGUUAAGUCCCGCAACGAGCGCAACCCUUAUGGUCAGUUACUACGCAAGAGGACUCUGGCCAGACUGCCGUUGACAAAACGGAGGAAGGUGGGGAUGACGUCAAAUCAUCAUGCCCUUUAUGACUUGGGCUACACACGUACUACAAUGGCGUUAAACAAAGAGAAGCAAGACCGCGAGGUGGAGCAAAACUCAGAAACAACGUCCCAGUUCGGACUGCAGGCUGCAACUCGCCUGCACGAAGUCGGAAUUGCUAGUAAUCGCAGAUCAGCAUGCUGCGGUGAAUACGUUCCCGGGCCUUGUACACACCGCCCGUC
rnacentral:rRNA from 1 species